AACGUUUCGAAAGGAAGCUAAUACCGCAUACGUCCUACGGGAGAAAGCAGGGGACCUUCGGGCCUUGCGCUAUCAGAUGAGCCUAGGUCGGAUUAGCUAGUUGGUGAGGUAAUGGCUCACCAAGGCGACGAUCCGUAACUGGUCUGAGAGGAUGAUCAGUCACACUGGAACUGAGACACGGUCCAGACUCCUACGGGAGGCAGCAGCG
rnacentral:rRNA from 1 species